rnacentral:lncRNA from 1 species
AUCUUACCAUCAAGCAGCUUCUAAUCCUGCUUGGCAGGCUGCAAUGACCAAAGAGUUUGAGGCAUUAGCAGCCAAUAAUACAUGGUCUUUGGUCCCACUUCCUUCUGGGAAGAAGCCUAUUGGGUGCAAAUGGGUUUACAAGAUCAAGUAUAGGGCUGAUGGGAGUGUGGAGAGGUAUAAGGCUAGAUUGGUGGUCAGAGGUGAUACUCAAAUUGAGGGAGUGGACUACACUGAUACAUUCUCUCCUGUUGUGAAAUUUUCUACUAUCAAAACCUUGGUUGCAGUUGCUGUGAAACAGUCCUGGCCUUUGUUUCAACUGGAUGUUAAUAAUGCAUUUCUCCAUGGUGAUCUCAAUGAAGAGGUAUAUAUGAAAUUGCCUCCUGGUCUUACAGUUUCUUCCUCUUCUUCUUCUUCUCCUUCUUUUUCUUCUUCUCCUCCUAUUGUCUGCCUUCUUCAGAAAUCUUUAUAUGGCCUAAAACAAGCCUCUAGGCAAUGGUAUGCCAAACUUUCCCAAGCCUUAUGCUCUAAAGGCUACUCUACCUCUCUCAAUGAUUACUCUCUUUUUUAUAAGAAAUCUGGUGAUUCUACUGUUCUCUUAGCUGUAUAUGUUGAUGAUAUAAUUCUAACUGGUAAUGAUCCUGAGGAAAUCUCUGCUUUAAAAUCCUUCUUAGACUCUGCUUUCAAGAUAAAGGACCUGGGCAUUCUCAACUAUUUUCUUGGCAUUGAAGUUGCCUAUUUAGCUGAUGGGCUUCUUCUUCAUCAGAAGAAGUUCAUCACUGACCUUCUUUUUACCUACAACUGUUCUGAUGUUACUCCUGUGACCUGUCCUCUCAAUCUUUCUGUUAAACUAAAGCAUGACAUGGGCAUCCCUCUUUCCUCUCCUGAAUCUUACAGAAGCCUAGUUGGCAAACUUAACUUCCUCACUCAUACAAGGCCUGAUUUGGCCUUUGCUGUGCAACAUCUUAGCCAAUUUCUUCAGAAACCUACUUCAGUCCACAUGGAUGCUGCUUUACAUACUCUUAGGUACCUCAAAGGUACAUCUGAUCUUGGGGUGUUUCUCAAUAACAAUCCUGACUUGUCUUU